AGAGUUUGAUCCUGGCUCAGGACGAACGCUGGCGGCGUGCUUAACACAUGCAAGUCAAGGGGGUUGGAGCAAUCCAGCAACCGGCGAACGGGUGCGUAACACGUGAGCGACCUACCCAGUGAUGGGGGAUAGCCGGCCCAACGGCCGGGUAAUACCGCAUACGCGUCUUCGGGGGCAUUCCUGGGGACGGAAACCUACGGGGUCAGUGGAGGGGCUCGCGGCCUAUCAGCUAGUUGGCGAGGUAACGGCUCACCAAGGCGAUGACGGGUAGCUGGUCUGAGAGGAUGGCCAGCCACAUUGGGACUGAGAGACGGCCCAGACUCCUACGGGAGGCAGCAGUGGGGAAUCUUGCGCAAUGGCCGAAAGGCUGACGCAGCGACGCCGCGUGGAGGAUGACGCCCUUCGGGGUGUAAACUCCUGUUGCCCGGGACGAAUACCUGUUUCGACAGGGGUGACGGUACCGG
rnacentral:rRNA from 1 species